rnacentral:rRNA from 1 species
CAGUCGAGCGGUAGCACAGAGAGCUUGCUCUCGGGUGACGAGCGGCGGACGGGUGAGUAAUGUCUGGGAAACUGCCUGAUGGAGGGGGAUAACUACUGGAAACGGUAGCUAAUACCGCAUAACGUCGCAAGACCAAAGUGGGGGACCUUCGGGCCUCAUGCCAUCAGAUGUGCCCAGAUGGGAUUAGCUGGUAGGUGGGGUAACGGCUCACCUAGGCGACGAUCCCUAGCUGGUCUGAGAGGAUGACCAGCCACACUGGAACUGAGACACGGUCCAGACUCCUACGGGAGGCAGCAGUGGGGAAUAUUGCACAAUGGGCGCAAGCCUGAUGCAGCCAUGCCGCGUGUGUGAAGAAGGCCUUCGGGUUGUAAAGCACUUUCAGCGGGGAGGAAGGCGGUGAGGUUAAUAACCUCAUCGAUUGACGUUACCCGCAGAAGAAGCACCGGCUAACUCCGUGCCAGCAGCCGCGGUAAUACGGAGGGUGCAAGCGUUAAUCGGAAUUACUGGGCGUAAAGCGCACGCAGGCGGUCUGUCAAGUCGGAUGUGAAAUCCCCGGGCUCAACCUGGGAACUGCAUUCGAAACUGGCAGGCUAGAGUCUUGUAGAGGGGGGUAGAAUUCCAGGUGUAGCGGUGAAAUGCGUAGAGAUCUGGAGGAAUACCGGUGGCGAAGGCGGCCCCCUGGACAAAGACUGACGCUCAGGUGCGAAAGCGUGGGGAGCAAACAGGAUUAGAUACCCUGGUAGUCCACGCUGUAAACGAUGUCGAUUUGGAGGUUGUGCCCUUGAGGCGUGGCUUCCGGAGCUAACGCGUUAAAUCGACCGCCUGGGGAGUACGGCCGCAAGGUUAAAACUCAAAUGAAUUGACGGGGGCCCGCACAAGCGGUGGAGCAUGUGGUUUAAUUCGAUGCAACGCGAAGAACCUUACCUGGUCUUGACAUCCACAGAACUUUCCAGAGAUGGAUUGGUGCCUUCGGGAACUGUGAGACAGGUGCUGCAUGGCUGUCGUCAGCUCGUGUUGUGAAAUGUUGGGUUAAGUCCCGCAACGAGCGCAACCCUUAUCCUUUGUUGCCAGCGGUUAGGCCGGGAACUCAAAGGAGACUGCCAGUGAUAAACUGGAGGAAGGUGGGGAUGACGUCAAGUCAUCAUGGCCCUUACGACCAGGGCUACACACGUGCUACAAUGGCAUAUACAAAGAGAAGCGACCUCGCGAGAGCAAGCGGACCUCAUAAAGUAUGUCGUAGUCCGGAUUGGAGUCUGCAACUCGACUCCAUGAAGUCGGAAUCGCUAGUAAUCGUAGAUCAGAAUGCUACGGUGAAUACGUUCCCGGGCCUUGUACACACCGCCCGUCACACCAUGGGAGUGGGUUGCAAAAGAAGUAGGUAGCUUAACCUCG